rnacentral:rRNA from 1 species
AGUGAACGCUGGCGGUAGGCCUAACACAUGCAAGUCGAACGGCAGCACAGGAGAGCUUGCUCUCUAGGUGGCGAGUGGCGGACGGGUGAGGAAUACAUCGGAAUCUGCCCAGUCGUGGGGGAUAACGUAGGGAAACUUACGCUAAUACCGCAUACGACCUUCGGGUGAAAGAGGGGGAUCGCAAGACCUCUCGCGAUUGGAUGAGCCGAUGUCGGAUUAGCUAGUUAGCGGGGUAAUGGCCCACCAAGGCGACGAUCCGUAGCUGGUCUGAGAGGAUGAUCAGCCACACUGGAACUGAGACACGGUCCAGACUCCUACGGGAGGCAGCAGUGGGGAAUGUUGGACAAUGGGCGCAAGCCUGAUCCAGCCAUACCGCGUGGGUGAAGAAGGCCUUCGGGUUGUAAAGCCCUUUUGUUGGGAAAGAAAUCUUUCAGGCUAAUACCCUGGGAGGAUGACGGUACCCAAAGAAUAAGCACCGGCUAACUUCGUG